GUAUAUUACCUCAGAAUAUCGUGUCAAAGUUUCAAAAGCUAAUUCUCAAAAUUGUGGAAGAGGUGCCUUCCGGUAGUUACGCCGAGCCAGUUCUCCAUGACCGCAAACUUUAAACCCACUACAACAAAAUUUUUUGUGAAACUCAAGAAUUUUGAUUUUUGGAGCCUGUUUGACAGACUUUUUUUCGAAUUAAGAAAAGAUAUUGGUUUAUCGACGACAAAAAACCCUCUUGAAUAAGAAAUUUUUGGAUUGUUGACUUUAGACUAAAAUUGUGGCCAACAUCACUUACAAACAUUUUGAUAUAUCCGCGGCGAUAUGACUUACAAGACCCUUGUAAAAUUUGAUAAAAACCAAGCUUCACUUUUGAAAAAUUAUUUUUUUUUGAUUAUCUCAGAGAUUACUCUUUGUCGGCCUCUAAAGGCGCCUACUGCUUAAAUCUGCAGAUGGCUACAAGCUACCGGUUACAAGUGAUUCAGACGCUAUUGUAAGAUUAACGAAUAAGCAGACCUGUUUUGGAAGGGGUCGUUAAGGGAGUACACGCAAAUGAUCAAAUGAGCAAAUGAUGAUUAAACGACCACCACUAUCCGUUGGAGAAUAUAUAAUUAUAGUGGAUAAGAAGCCUUUGGGCCAAAAGACAAAUUAUAGUAAUAUGUACAGCUAAAGAUUUAUUUGUAACCACCUUAAAUAUAAAAAAAAGACUAUAAAUUCAAAAAGUGCUGCUAUAAACUUCGUAAUUUAAUCGUUGGCUGCAACAACAUAUUAUAUUACACACCGGUUACCUUAAACGUUACUUUUAAGAUUUGUAUAAUUUGUACAAAAGUAAAGAGAAUGUUUUUUAUAGCCGUUACUCGUAGAGUAAAAGGGUAUAUUAGAUUUGUUGAA